rnacentral:rRNA from 1 species
AACGAACGCUGGCGGCAUGCCUAACACAUGCAAGUCGAACGAAGUCUUCGGACUUAGUGGCGCACGGGUGCGUAACGCGUGGGAAUCUGCCCUUGGGUACGGAAUAACUCCGAGAAAUUUGUGCUAAUACCGUAUGAUGACGUAAGUCCAAAGAUUUAUCGCCCAGGGAUGAGCCCGCGUAGGAUUAGCUAGUUGGUGAGGUAAAGGCUCACCAAGGCGACGAUCCUUAGCUGGUCUGAGAGGAUGAUCAGCCACACUGGGACUGAGACACGGCCCAGACUCCUACGGGAGGCAGCAGUGGGGAAUAUUGGACAAUGGGCGAAAGCCUGAUCCAGCAAUGCCGCGUGAGUGAUGAAGGCCCUAGGGUUGUAAAGCUCUUUUACCCGGGAAGAUAAUGACUGUACCGGGAGAAUAAGCCCCGGCUAACCCCGUGCCAGCAGCCGCCGUAA